AGUUUGAACUGUUGCUGCCAGCAAUGCUAGUUUUGAACCGUUGCUGCCGAGGAUGCUGGCUUUGCUGCUUUGGAUAGAAACUGCUGACUUUGGUGCUAACUGUCAUUUCGGACAGAGAAUGCUGCUGAGGGGGACUUUGUCUUUGCUUCUGCUUUUGUUGCUGCCAAGCCGAGAGAAUAGGGACUUAAUCUGCUGCCAUUUCGAUUCGUAUACUGACUAGGUGAAUGUGAUUCUAUUUACCAUAACAAUUCACAUACUGAGGAAACAUUCAACACCCAAUAAAGAUGUAUCAACCAUUAAGAAUACAAAGGGGCUUCUUUUUAAGUCUAUUGCUCAGUUCCUUGCUUUUGGUUGCACAUGGCUAUUCAGCAUCUUCCACUUUCAGAAGGAGACCCUUGUGAUGUCAUACAUUUUCACGACACUGAACAGCUUCCAUGGAGUGUUUAUGUUUCUGCUCUAUUGUGCUGCUAAUAA